AGGAUUCCCCUAGUAACUGCGAGUGAAGCGGGAAAAGCUCAAAUUUAAAAUCUGGCAGUCUUUGGCUGUCCGAGUUGUAAUUUAGAGAAGCACUGCCCGUGCUGGACUGUGUACAAGUCUCCUGGAAUGGAGCGUCAUAGAGGGUGAGAAUCCCGUAUAUGACACAGUUGCCAGGACUUAGUGGCAUGCUCUCCAAGAGUCGAGUUGUUUGGGAAUGCAGCUCAAAAUGGGUGGUAAAUUCCAUCUAAAGCUAAAUAUAGGCGAGAAACCGAUAGCGAACAAGUACCGUGAGGGAAAGAUGAAAAGAACUUUGGAAAGAGAGUUAAACAGUACGUGAAAUUGUUGAAAGGGAAACGCUUGAAGUCAGUCGCAUUGCUGGAAAUCACACUUGCUUUUGCUUGUGGCUCUUUCCUAGUAAUGGGUCAGCAUCAGUUUUGAUUGUUGGACAAGGGUUGGAGGAAUGUGGCAUCCUUGGAUGUGUUAUAGCCUCUGAUCAUAUGCAAUGAUUGAGACUGAGGAACUCAGCACUG
rnacentral:rRNA from 1 species